GUAACACUGCGUCAAGAUAACACCGAUACAAGCCAAUGCUACAGCACUAACAAAAAGGUACCCUUCAACAAAUUUGCUAGCUCAAGUUUUACCAUCCAAAAGAUUCACAGCACUCAAGGGCAGUAAUUGUAAACGCAAGGAUGACUGGGCAAGUAAAUUCAAGAUACCGAAAUAUCCCAGUUCACCAGAGGCUGAGUUCUCACAGAAUAGU
rnacentral:lncRNA from 1 species